rnacentral:tRNA from 1 species
GUAUUAGUGGUUCAUUGGUAGAACUCUCACCUUUCAUGUGGGAGACCCAGUUUCAAUUCCCAGCCAAUGUA